rnacentral:rRNA from 1 species
AGUUCGGACUGGAGUCUGNAACCCGACUCCACGAAGUUGGAUUCGCUAGUAAUCGCGCAUCAGCCAUGGCGCGGUGAAUACGUUCCCGGGCCUUGUACACACCGCCCGUCAAGCCAUGGGAGCCGGGGGCGCCUGAAGUCCGGGACCGCGAGGACCGGCCUAGGGCGAAACUGGUAACUGGGGCUAAGUCGUAACAAGGUAAC